AACACAAUAGAAAAGUCUAUAUACAGUGUGCACAAAUUAGGUUUCCAAGAAGGGAAGUGAACAAGUGCACACUACAGGAGAAGGGAGAUAUUGGCACUCAAACUGUGGCAUAAUCCACAUAUCUACCUCCAUUCCUAACAUCAUUACACUGCGUCUCAUACUAAAUGUUUAUUUUUUAUGACAAUUACAAAAUGAAUUCAUGUGAAUGAAUGUGUCAGAAAAAUGGUUUGAAAGCAUUUUUGUUGUGACUCAGCAAUAUGACGUGGAUGCAGAAAGUAAACCGCAUAGUGGGUCAAUUUCAACAACAACUAAGAGUGUUCUUCUCUGCUGUUUUGGUGCCCUGGAUACCACACUUUAAACAGCGUGAUGCGAACCUGUGCACAUGCGCAGAUACUGUGUGUGACUGCGAAGUGUCGCAUCUCGUUAAUCUCAACAUCUCCGGUGCGGUCCGUGGCAUCGUCAUUUCGCGGAGUCUACCUGGAUGUGUUAUAUUUUCCUUGCGCCAAAAUGACAGGUAUAUUUAUUCAUGGCUUGAGCAGGGAGGUCUGGAUUGGACUUCAGCCAUACAGAAGGAGUUUGGGAGUGGGUUGAUGGGACCAGUGGUGUAAAAAGUACCUUAUUUUCAUACUUGAGUAAAAGUAAAGAUACCUUAAUAGAAAAUGACUCAAAUAAAAGUAAUCCAGUAAAAUACUACUUGAGUAAAAGUAAAAAAGUAUUUGGUUCUGAAUAUAGUUAAGUAUCAAAAGUAAAUGUAUAAAUAGUGGGUUGAUGGGACACCUCAUCUUAUGGAGUUGUGUUGGAUUUCAAUUUCAAGUUAAGCAGUUUGUUUUUAUUUGUAAUUAAACUGGCAUAUCAGAAAUGUAUGUAAUCUAGUGCACUAAAUAUAUAAUAGAAGUUAGCUGGUGUUAUCUUAGUGGUGAAGAAUACAUGUACACCAUUGUGUAAUGUAUUGUAGUGAAUGUGGGGACUAGUCCCUCAUCCAGCGACUCUCAAACCAACACCUUAGUAGUUACACCAAGAGAUACGAAACCUUUGAUGAGGUUGCUAGGUGUUGGGUUAAGGUCACUACAGUAUAAACUCAGUAUAGACCAGGUUAUGAGGUUGCUAGGUGUUGGGUUAAGGUCACUACAGUAUAAACUCAGUAUAAACCAGGUUAUGAGGUUGCUAGGUGUUGGGUUAAGGUCACUACAGUAUAAACUCAGUAUAGACCAGGUUAUGAGGUUGCUAGCAAUUAAUGUUAAAGGAAAGAUUCACCCAUUUUGAAUCGUAUAUUGUAUUCGUGUAUCUCUUAGCAAUUUUUGCCAGAUAACUGACCUGUUAUAGUAGUGUAGAUGUCAGAACUAUACUACCACCAGAUAACUGACCUGUUAUAGUAGUGUAGAUGUCAACACUAUACUAUCACCAGAUAACUGACAUGUUAUAGUAGUGUAGAUGUCAACACUAUACUAUCACCAGAUAACUGACCUGUUAUAGUAGUGUAGAUGUCAGAACUAUACUAUCACCAGAUAACUGACAUGUUAUAGUAGUGUAGAUGUCAACACUAUACUAUCACCAGAUAACUGACCUGUUAUAGUAGUGUAGAUGUCAACACUAUACUAUCACCAGAUAACUGACCUGUUAUAGUAGUGUAGAAGUCAACACUAUACUAUCACCAGAUAACUGACAUGUUAUAGUAGUGUAGAUGUCAGAACACUAUACUAUCACCAGAUAGAGAGUGGAACUAGUAGCAGAAUAGUGAGGGAUUUAGAACAGAGAUGUGAGAUGAAUAGUUGAGAUUAAAGAGAGUUGAACUAGUAGUAGAAUAGUGAGGGAUUUAGAAAAGAGAUGUGAGAUGAAUAGUUGAGAUUAAAGAGAGUUGAACUAGUAGUAGAAUAGUGAGGGAUUUAGAACAGAGAUGUGAGAUGAAUAGUUGAGAUUAAAGAGAGUUGAACUAGUAGUAGAAUAGUGAGGGAUUUAGAACAGAGAUGUGAGAUGAAUAGUUGAGAUUAAAGAGAGUUGAACUAGUAGUAGAAUAGUGAGGGAUUUAGAACAGAGAUGUGAGAUGAAUAGUUGAGAUUAAAGAGAGUUGAACUAGUAGUAGAAUAGUGAGGGAUUUAGAACAGAGAUGUGAGAUGAAUAGUUGAGAUUAAAGAGAGUUGAACUAGUAGUAGAAUAGUGAGGGAUUUAGAACAGAGAUGUGAGAUGAAUAGUUGAGAUUAAAGAGAGUUGAACUAGUAGUAGAAUAGUGAGGGAUUUAGAAAAGAGAUGUGAGAUGAAUAGUUGAGAUUAAAGAGAGUUGAACUAGUAGUAGAAUAGUGAGGGAUUUAGAACAGAGAUGUGAGAUGAAUAGUUGAGAUUAAAGAGAGUUGAACUAGUAGUAGAACAAGUGGCAGGGACACUGUUGUUUUUUUUUUCAAAUUCCAGAAUGUAUCUUUAAUUAUUCAACCAAGGACGACUUCUUUAAUUCAACAACACAACCACGUACUCCUGGGCUCUUUCUCAGUAGUCUAAUAUACAGUCUUCUUUGUUGUCCUCUAAUUCACUGAUCUGAAAGAGCUGACCAGGUGAAAGCUAAGCCAGUCUAAUGAGCUUCUUUCCACCAUAUUGUUUUCACCCUGUGAAGUUGUUUUCCAAGCAGUUGAAUGGGAGAGAAUGAUUUUUAAAGAAUUGGUUUUGGUUACAUUUCCACAAAUGUCAUACCCACACCACCAUCUAUUGGUCAAUUCUGGUGUUUAUGAUCACCAGGGACCGAAUAACAUCAAGCGUCUCAGAGUAACAUUGCUGAUUUAGGAUCAGUUUAAUGUUUUAGAUCAUAUUUAAUAAUACAUGGACAGGGAGGACCUGAUCCUAGAUCAGCACUUCUGCUCUGAGAUGCUUGAUACAUACAGCGCCUAAAUAUGUACAUUGUGUGCCAUAUGCUUGUCUAAUAGCUGAGUAAUACUGUCAACAGCAGAUUCCAAGUCAACAAGAAAUACUGGUGUUCUAUUGAUGGACAGUAUUUCUCAUGACACCAGAUAAUGUUUUAAACCAAAUAAUGCUUUUAAUUGGUUGGUUUUUAUUAAUUAUCCUCCAGUAACAAGAUAUUACAAAAUGGAACGUUUUUUAAAACUUUUUAUUUCAACAAUAUACAUUAUUUCACAAAAUGUGUGUUUUCACUGCAGAUGAAAAACAACAUUUGUAAGAGAUCAUAAACAAUAUCAAUAUUUGUUUGAUACAACUCAACUUUUUUUGUCUUCAUCAUGGUAGUAGUUUGGCCAAAUGAAAGCCAUUUACUGCAGGCUCUCAAGAGUUCAAUCCCACAUCAUCGUUAAAUUAUCAUCAACAACAACAAAAAUAAAACAUCAUCGUCAUCAACAACAACAAAAAUAAAAUCAUCAUCAUCAACCAUAUAAUCUUCAUCAACGGACAGAUUUAUAAAUCACCAUCAAACAUCAUCAUCAACCAUAUAAUCUUCAUCAACAGACAGAUUUAUAAAUCACCAUCAAACAUCAUCAUCAACCAUAUAAUCUUCAUCAACGGACAGAUUUAUAAAUCACCAUCAAACAUCAUCAUCAACCAUAUAAUCUUCAUCAACGGACAGAUUUAUAAAUCACCAUCAAACAUCAUCAACCAUAUAAUCUUCAUCAACGGACAGAUUUAUAAAUCACCAUCAAACAUCAUCAUCAACCAUAUAAUCUUCAUCAACGGACAGAUUUAUAAAUCACCAUCAAACAUCAUCAUCAACCAUAUAAUCUUCAUCAACGGACAGAUUUAUAAAUCACCAUCAAACAUCAUCAUCAACCAUAUAAUCUUCAUCAACGGACAUUUACCACUAAAUGAUGCAAUCUCUUCAUAAUCUGUAACUAAAACAUAUCAAGCCAUAGGUUAGACGGUAAAGUAAAUGAGAGAAAUAUCAUUAUUCUUAUUGAAAAUAAAUAAUCAAUGUCAGACUAGCUCAUUA